rnacentral:lncRNA from 1 species
GACAUCACAAAGGGUUUAAUGACACAUACCAAGCACAGUUACUGGUGCCCUCACUGGCUCCUAUUAAUAUCUUAGGGAAGUAGUAUCGCUCCAUCCACUACUUUCUAUAGUGAUUCAGAAAUUUGCUGUUUAAGCAAAGUAAGAGACUAGGGAAUUUGGCAUACCCUAGGCAGCAAGGGAGCCUGAUGUGCCAUUCCAAGAGGACUUCCUGUGUGCCUCCAGAUGGCCAGGUCUCAGCCUGGUCUUCCUGGACCUAUUGCAAAGAAAGACUUAGAUCAGAGGGCAUUCUGUGCUCCAAGGGCAGAAUGGUGGAAGAGGCAACACACUUCCCAUAUAUUAAUAGGGACCAGUGAUGGUACUAGCUUGGACAGGGGAAAGAAGGCUUUUAGAGCUUCACAGACACAUCAUCCAGCUUUAACAUCUCAGCCUGGAGCUCCUGUCUGGCCACAAGAAGUUUGUUGAGGCUCAACAGGGAGCAGUUCAGAGGAGACUCAACAUUAAAGAUGCCUAGAGCAAUUUUUAGCCAAUAAAGAAUGGAGCUGAU